rnacentral:rRNA from 1 species
GACGAACGCUGGCGGCGGGCUUAACACAUGCAAGUCGAACGGAAAGGCCCUGCUUUUGUGGGUUGCUCGAGUGGCGAACGGGUGAGUAACACGAGAGUAACCUGCCCUUGACUUUGGGAUAACUUCAGGAAACUGGGGCUAAUACCGGAUAGGAGCUCCUGCUGCAUGGUAAGGGUUGGAUAGUUUCGGCGGGUGGGGAUGGACUCGCGGCUUAUCAGCUUGUUGGUGGGGUAGUGGCUUACCAAGGCUUUGACGGGUAGCCGGCCUGAGAGGGUGACCGGCCACAUUGGGACUGAGAUAAGGACCAGACUAAUCAGGGAGGCAGCAGUGGGGAAUAUUGCACAACCGGCGGAAGUCUGAUGCAGCAACGCCGCGAGCGGGAUGACGGCCUUCGGGUUGUAACCCGCUUUCGCCUGUGACGAAGCGUGAGUGACGGUAACGAGCAAAGAAGCACCGGCUAACUACGUG